rnacentral:rRNA from 1 species
GUAGGAGGCGAGCGUUGUCCGGAAUCAUUGGGCGUAAAGAGCGCGCAGGCGGCCCGGCAAGUCGGGUGUGAAAUCCCGGGGCUCAACCCCGGGACUGCAUCCGAUACUGCCGGGCUAGAGGUAGGUAGGGGAGAUCGGAAUUCCUGGUGUAGCGGUGAAAUGCGCAGAUAUCAGGAGGAACACCGGUGGCGAAGGCGGAUCUCUGGGCCUUACCUGACGCUCAGGCGCGAAAGCUAGGGGAGCGAACAGGAUUAGAUACCCUGGUAGUCCUAGCCGUAAACGUUGGGUGCUAGGUGUGGGCGGAUAUCGACCCCGUCCGUGCCGAAGCUAACGCAUUAAGCACCCCGCCUGGGGAGUACGGCCGCAAGGCUAAA